CCUCAGGCAAGAUCCACUCCUCAUGCCAGGUCCUCCAGCACAGAGGUGAGGCGGCAGGGGCCUGCCCUCACAGGGCUGUCAGGAGUUCGGCAGCAUGAGAGCAAUGUGCUCAACAGUGUUUCCUGUGUUCCAGCGUCCCCGACCAAACCCGAGGUGUUCCCACUGAGUCUUCGAAGUGCUGAGCCGGAUGGGCAGGUGGUCAUUGCCUGCCUAGUCCAGGGCUUCUUCCCCUCGGAGCCACUGACAAUGACCUGGAACAAAAGUGGGGAGGUCAGACACUUCCUGCCCUCCCAGGCUGGCACCGGGGGCCUGUACACUGCAAGCAGCCAGCUGACUCUGCCAGCCGCCCAGUGCCCAGAUGGCUCAUCUGUGCAGUGCCACGUGAAGCACCACACAUACCCCAACCAGGAUGUGUUGGUGCCCUGCACCCUUCAACCCCCAGUGCCAUCCUGCUGCCACCCAAAACUGUCACUGAGCCGGCCUGCCGUGGAAGAUCUGCUCCUGGGCUUGGACGCCAAUCUCACCUGCACACUGAGCGGCCUGGUGAACCCCAACAACGUCAUCUUCGCCUGGACGACCACGGCGGGGAAGGAUGCUGUCCAGCAAACAGCUGUGCGGGACUCCUGUGGCUGCUACAGUGUGUCCAGUGUCCUGCCCGGCUGCGCAGAACCCUGGAACCGUGGGGACCACUUCACGUGCACUGCCACCCAAUCUGAUUCCAAAAUCUCAGAAACUGCCACCAUCUUCAAAGACAUAGGGAAUACCUUCCGGCCCCAGGUCCACCUGCUGCCGCCGCCGUCGGAGGAGCUGGCCCUGAAUGAGCUGGUGACUCUGACAUGCCUGGUGCGCGGCUUCAGCCCCAGUGACGUGAUGGUGCGCUGGCUGCAUGGGUCCCAGGAGCUGCCCCGCGGGGACUACUUGACCUGGGCCCCCCGGCAGGAGCCCGGUCAAGGUGCCAAAACCUUCGCUGUGACCAGCACAUUGCGCGUGACAGCUGAAGACUGGAAGAGGGGGGACAUCUACUCUUGCAUGGUGGGCCACGAGACCCUGCCUCUGUCCUUUACACAGAAGACCAUCGACCGCCUCGCGGGUAAACCCACCCACGUCAAUGUGUCUGUGAUCAUGUCAGAGGCAGAUGGCGUCUGUUACUAAGUCACCCGCUCAACCUGCCCCAUGAAUAAACUCCAUGCUUGUCCCAAGCAUACCCAUGCU